rnacentral:rRNA from 1 species
AGAGUUUGAUCCUGGCUCAGAUUGAACGCUGGCGGCGUGCUUAACACAUGCAAGUCGAACGUGAAAGUCCUUCGGGGCGAGUAAAGUGGCGCACGGGUGAGUAACGCGUGGAUAAUCUACCCUUAAGAUGGGGAUAACGGCUGGAAACGGUCGCUAAUACCGAAUACGCUCCCGAUUUUAUCAUUGGGGGGAAAGAUGGCCUCUGCUUGCAAGCUAUCGCUUAAGGAUGAGUCCGCGUCCCAUUAGCUAGUUGGCGGGGUAACGGCCCACCAAGGCAACGAUGGGUAGCCGGUCUGAGAGGAUGACCGGCCACACUGGAACUGGAACACGGUCCAGACUCCUACGGGAGGCAGCAGUGGGGAAUAUUGCGCAAUGGGCGAAAGCCUGACGCAGCGACGCCGCGUGAGGGAUGAAGGUUCUCGGAUCGUAAACCUCUGUCAGGGGGGAAGAAACCCCCUCGUGUGAAUAAUGCGAGGGCUUGACGGUACCCCCAAAGGAAGCACCGGCUAACUCCGUGCCAGCAGCCGCGGUAAUACGGAGGGUGCAAGCGUUAAUCGGAAUCACUGGGCGUAAAGCGCACGUAGGCGGCUUGGUAAGUCAGGGGUGAAAUCCCACAGCCCAACUGUGGAACUGCCUUUGAUACUGCCAGGCUUGAGUACCGGAGAGGGUGGCGGAAUUCCAGGUGUAGGAGUGAAAUCCGUAGAUAUCUGGAGGAACACCGGUGGCGAAGGCGGCCACCUGGACGGUAACUGACGCUGAGGUGCGAAAGCGUGGGUAGCAAACAGGAUUAGAUACCCUGGUAGUCCACGCUGUAAACGAUGGGUGCUGGGUGCUGGGAUGUAUGUCUCGGUGCCGUAGCUAACGCGAUAAGCACCCCGCCUGGGGAGUACGGUCGCAAGGCUGAAACUCAAGAAAUUGACGGGGGCCCGCACAGCGUGAGU